rnacentral:tRNA from 1 species
GCGGGACUAGUACAGUGGCAGUACACGUGCUUGCCAAGCACGAGACGCGAGUUCGAUUCUCGUGUCCCGCUCCA